CACAGUUCAGGAAACCCAAGAUCGCGACACUUUAAUGGAGGCGAUAAGAACUGGAACUUACUUGAAGCCUACGAAUGUAGUCGUAUUUGAAAAGCAACCUGUAGUAGCAAGCCAAUUUAUUUGUGGCGGAAGUGCAAAUCCUUCAGAAACAGUUGAUUCUAAUUCGAAAAACAAACCUUUAAGCAUACCGGAAAACUCGAAUGCCAAUCCUGAACAACGUUCGCAGCGUUCGCUUAAUUUAUCAAGAAAAGAAAAUCGUAGUGAACUUGUACCAAAGUCUCAUUUUGACUUAUUUAACGUGGAGCUUUCAAGAAAUGAGACCAGUUUUAGCAGUAGCUGCUGCAG